rnacentral:rRNA from 1 species
CGGGGAGCAAUCCCCAGUCGAGCGGCGAACGGGUGAGUAACGCGUGGAUGACCUGCCCUUCAGCGGGGAAUAACCCGGGGAAACUCGGGCUAAUACCGCAUACGACCGCGAGGUGAAAGGGGGCCGCAAGGCUCCUACUGAAGGAGGGGUCCGCGUCCGAUUAGCUAGUUGGUAGGGUAAUGGCCUACCAAGGCGACGAUCGGUAGCCGGCCUGAGAGGGUGAUCGGCCACACUGGAACUGAGACACGGUCCAGACUCCUACGGGAGGCAGCAGUGGGGAAUUUUGCGCAAUGGGCUAACGCCUGACGCAGCAACGCCGCGUGGAGGAUGAAGGUCUUUGGAUUGUAAACUCCUGUCAGCAGGGAAAAAGGGAAGGGACCUAAUACGUCUCUGACUUGAUUGUACCUGCAGAGGAAGCCCCGGCUAACUCUGUGCCAGCAGCCGCGGUAAUACAGAGGGGGCAAGCGUUAUUCGGAAUUAUUGGGCGUAAAGGGCGCGUAGGCGGCUUUGCAAGUGGCGGGUGAAAUCCCUCGGCUUAACCGAGGAACUGCCUGCCAGACUGCAUUGCUUGAGUCCGGGAGAGGUGAGUGGAAUUCCCAGUGUAGCGGUGAAAUGCGUAGAUAUUGGGAGGAACACCAGUGGCGAAGGCGGCUCACUGGACCGGAACUGACGCUGAGGCGCAAAAGCGUGGGGAGCAAACAGGAUUAGAUACCCUGGUAGUCCACGCCGUAAACGAUGAGUGCUUGGUGUAGCGGGUAUCGACCCCUGCUGUGCCGAAGUCAACACAUUAAGCACUCC